rnacentral:lncRNA from 1 species
AGAGAGUGAUAUCUAGGAUGAACAUUUGUUUUUGGCUCAAAACAAUCUCCCUUUUCGUAUCCUUUAGUUGUUUCAUUCUUUUUUCAUUUUGAGGCUUGUAACUCCUUCUUUGUUAGUGGGAAAGAAUUAAGCGAACAACAUGAUUAUUACGAGAAAACCCUUGUAAGCUUAAGUGAUGAUUUUCAUUGUUAACUAAUAGAUUAUGACAUGAUAAUUUGUCAUAUUUUUCAAUCGUGUUGAGUAAACUUUGGAAGUGUGGUUUUGAGUGAUUCACAACUCUCAUUAUUUGGGAAUAAAAUACCAGUUCCAAAAAAUUAGUCAGGAAUAAGAUGUUUUAUCUUUUUGACAUUUGUAUGGUUAUAACUUUCUUUUUAUGAAGGGAAAAUGUUUAUGCCCUCUGGCUCUCUGCUUGUGAUUUGUGUUUAAUUCUCAUUAUUUGGGAAAAAAUACCAGUUCCAAAAAAAAUAGUCAGGAAUAAGAUGUUUUAUCUUUUUGACGUUUGUAUGGUUAUAACUUUCUUUUUAAGAAGGGAAAAU